GGGGAAUAUUAGACAAUGGGGGAAACCCUGAUCUAGCAAUGCCGCGUGAAUGAAGAGGGCCUUAGGGUUGUAAAGUUCUUUCGCCUUUGAAGAUGAUGACUGUAGAAGGAUAAGAAGCACCGGCUAACUCCGCGCCAGCAGCCGCGGUAAUACGGAGGGUGCAAGCGUUGUUCGGAAUUACUGGGCGUAAAGGGCGCGUAGGCGGUCUUUUAAGUUAGGCGUGAAAGCCCCAGGCUCAACCUGGGAACUGCGCUUAAUACUGAAGGACUUGAGUGCGAGAGGGGAAAGUGGAAUUCCUAGUGUAGAGGUGAAAUUCGUAGAUAUUAGGAAGAACACCGGUGGCGAAGGCGACUUUCUGGCUCGCAACUGACGCUGAGGCGCGAAAGCGUGGGGAGCAAAC
rnacentral:rRNA from 1 species